AAGCUUCUAAAUGUACAGCUAUUAAUACAUUUCUAACAUCUCUAACCUGUUAAGUAUCUGGAUAGUCACUGUUAGUAAAGCUUAUUUGCACAAACAUUCUAGUCAUUGUAAGGUCAGGUUAUACUGUACAGAUGACUCACUGUCAUUGAGCCUUCAUUCAGUUUCUUCAGGUCCAGUGUUCCUCGUCAUCAUCAGUCUGGGUGCUGGUUCCCUUUUCCUGGUUCUGCUAGCUGGGUCUGUGCUGUGUGUUCUCCAACGCAAGUGUGGGGUUCAAGGCAGGCAUGUAAAUACUGGAAGCCCACCUGAUCAGCAAGACCAAACCCCACCUUGUG